rfam:Zootermopsis nevadensis contig10455, whole genome shotgun sequence.
AGAAAGGUUUUUCCGAUUUUAAAACCACUAAAACAAACAGAAAAAUUAUCU